AUGGCUGCCUACAAGCUGGUGCUGGGCCGGCAUGGCAAAAGCGCCUGGAACCUGGAGAACCGCUUCAGCGGCUGGUAUGACGCCGACCUGAGCCCGGCGGGCCACGAGGAGGCGAAGCGCGGCGGGCAGGCGUUGCGAGAUGCUGGCUAUGAAUUUGACAUCUGCUUCACCUCUGUGGAGAAGUGAGCAAUCCGGACCCUCUGGACAGUCCUGGGUGCCGUUGACCAGAUGUGGUUGCCAAUGGUCAGGACUUGGCACCUCAAUGAGGGACACUAUGGCGGUCUAACAGGUCUCAACAAAGCAGAAACUGCUGCUAAGCAUGGUGAGGCCCAGGUAAAGAUCUGGAGACGAUCUUACGAUCUUACGAUGUCCCACCGCCUCCCAUGGAGCCUGAUCACCCCUUCUAUAGCAACAUCAGCAAGGAUCGCAGGUACGCAGACCUUACUGAAAACCAGCUCCCCUCCUGUGAGAGCCUGAAGGAUACUAUUGCCAGAGCACUGCCCUUCUGGAAUGAAGAAAUUGUCCCCCAGAUCAAAGAGGGGAAAAGGGUCUUGAUUGCGGCCCAUGGCAACAGCCUUCGGGGCAUCGUUAAGCAUCUCUCAGAAGAGGCCAUCAUGGAGCUGAACCUGCCCAUGGGCAUCCCCAUCAUCUAUGAACUGGACAAGAACUUGAACCCCAUCAAGCCCAUGCAGUUCCUGGAAGACGAGGAGACCGUGCGCAAAGCCAUGGAAGCUGUGGCUGCUCAGGGCAAGGUGAAGAAGUGCAGGCGAGGAGGCAGACUCCUACCCCGACACCCUCCCUGCCUGUUCCUGCCUCCUGCACCCUCCCCAGCACCUGCCACACUGACUAUGUCUUUAGGAUUUUAAGUUUAAGUUGUAGCUGCAGAUGGGGGCCUGUGGCUCCCUUUUUCAUUGUAGUAUUUUAUCCCCUGCACCCACUCCCUUCAUAGAAUCUAGUCAGAAUAACGCCUCUGG